GAUGAAGAACGCAGCGAAAUGCGAUAAGUAAUGUGAAUUGCAGAAUUCAGUGAAUCAUCGAAUCUUUGAACGCACAUUGCGCCCGCCAGUAUUCUGGCGGGCAUGCCUGUUCGAGCGUCAUUUCAACCAUCAAGCCCUGCUUGCGUUGGGGUCCUGCGGCUGCCCGCAGGCCCUGAAAACCAGUGGCGGGCUCGCUAGUCACACCGAGCGCAGUAAUACAUCUCGCUUUGGGCGUGCGGCGGGUUCUUGCCGUUAAACACCCCCUUUUUACCAAGGUUGACCUCGGAUCAGGUAGGAAUACCCGCUGAACUUAAGCAUAUCAAUAAGCAGAGGA
rnacentral:misc_RNA from 1 species